GUUGCCUUUAGAGUUGGCUACAAAACUUAGAGCUUGGUGUUGGCUCAGGCACAAAAGAGCUGGCUGUACUUGAGGCUGACUUCCAUUCUACCUGUGACUAUUACAUUCAAGGUAGUGAACGCUUGAAGCCUCUGGCAUCCUGAUCCCAUGAUUACUGCAGAGAAAAGAGUGAUGAAUGAAAGCCCCUGUCAUCGUGUAGUUUAAUACUGGCAUUGCUCUUGGGAGCCAAGGAGUCCUAGACGACUGAAUUCUGCUGUGAGGUCUGUAGCUCAGGGAGAAGAUGAGACAAGUGGACUUGGAAAGAACAAUCUUCCUCGAAAAAGUCCUCAGGGUGCAAAGAGGAGAAAUGCAAUAAAAUGAUAAUGAGGAGGCCCAGGACCCGCACAAGGGCACCACUGCAAGUAGAUACUUCGAGGAAACUUCCUGAUGCUUGUCCAGCCCUUGGUGGUGGUGCCCGGCAGCCCGUAUUCUUAUCCCAAAGCAAUAUGUGUGGAGACAGCCCUGCAAAAGCUGAGAGAUUGUGUGUCCAGAGACAUGUUCCAGGAAUGGAAACUGAGAGUGGAGGAGUUUCCUUCUCUCCUCCUGUCUCCCGCUAAAGUGGGCGGUCCCUUUGGUGUCAUCGCACUGUCUUCAUAGCCUACUGCGCUCCAGGCCUGUGCGCCCAUGGCGGUCUUGGACCACGAGUGAGCCAUGAGCCCUCCCAAGCCCCAAGGCCAGGUCUGAAGCGGGCUGGUGUGUGCCCCUGGCUUUGUUGCCCAGAUCCUCACCACAAUCCCAGCAUCCCACCACUCUACUGCGAGAAGAGACAAGGGAGGAGAUGCACACCUCAGAGAAGGAGCAGAUUUCAUUCAAAGUCCGAGGGAGGCCAGGGCUCCUGGUCCCGGACUUCGUGUCAAUUGGUUCUUCCUGGAAAAGACAAUUGGAGGCACCUUCACCUUGUUUUUACUAUAUGGGUCGCGUGGCAGUGCUGGAGAAAAAGACAAUCCCCAAAGAGCACAUUGUCCUAAAGGAAGAGUCAACACCUGCUAACAGUUUAUCUUGUCAUACUAAGCCUCAAGCCCUGAGCACCAUUGCUCAGCUGCACUCACGGUCUUGGUACUGUUGCCUGGUGUAACUACACAACCUCUGGGCUGAUGACGCAAAAACACGUGAUAUGUAAUAGCUCACUUAAUUCUCGCAACUGUAAUUAUCCCCAUCUUAUGACUUCCAUUUGACGGAAAGAUUAAGUGGCUAAUCCUACAACACAUUUAAGUGGCUUGUCCCAUAACUAGUGAAGAGAUUGAAAAUUUGAACUCCUCUGCUGAGCUCCGGAACCUGUGCUCCUAAGGGAGGAAUGGGCUGGAGCUCCCCACAGUGGUCAUCAUGUAAACCCAACACUUCCUACAUUCAUUGAUUUCUGCCUCAUUUACAUUCCUCUUUUGUUAGUUGCUCAGAAGUCCCUCCUCCAUCCUCUUCUUCCCAAGCCCUGGUCAUUAAAAUCAAAGUCUUAAAUCUCGGAUACCACUCUCCCUGCACCUAGGCCCUUAUUUUCAUCCGUAUCCAGAGAAUCUUAACCUCUUGUCUUACGUUUGUCUAACUUGAACCUGUACGACCUAUUCCUUGAGACUCUAUAUUUUAAAAACCUGCACAGAUCUUAUCAAAAAAUUAUUUGUACCUCUGCUUCUACCAUUAGGUGACCGUUGCCUUUUCUCUGAAGACACCAUUUCUCUUGUAAUCUUCUCAAUGUAUCUUUCUCUUAUUCCUGUCCCUUAACUGAACGAAAGUGGGAUCGGCUUUUCCGUUCUCUCCAGUACUUCUCUCGACCACUGUUUUGUGAUUAUUAUCCAAGAGCUUUGCUGGUGUUGGACUCCAUAUAGCACUGUUUCUAACACUUUCUUGCUUUCCUCAGUGACCCCAGCAUCUGGCUCACAGCCUUCCCUUUCCUUGCUAAAGUCCGAGCGACUCCGACAUCAAAAUUGAUCAUCUUCCCAACUGUGUACUCAGGCAGUGUUCAAGUUCCACUUCCCGAGGGAGUUCUGUCUUGCUUCCAUGGAGCUGUCCACCUGGUUGUCUCAUUUUUAAACAGCUUUAUUAAGAAAUCAUCGACAUAUAAAAAUGUAUACAUUUAAGAUGUGCAACUUGAUGUUUUAGUAUACGUUAUUAAAUUAUCACCACAAUCAAGCUAAUUAAACAUAUCCAUUACCUCUGC